rnacentral:rRNA from 1 species
CCUACGGGUGGCAGCAGUAGGGAAUAUUGCUCAAUGGGGGAAACCCUGAAGCAGCAACGCCGCGUGGAGGAUGAAGGUUUUCGGAUUGUAAACUCCUUUUGUUAGAGAAGAUAAUGACGGUAUCUAACGAAUAAGCACCGGCUAACUCCGUGCCAGCAGCCGCGGUAAUACGGAGGGUGCAAGCGUUACUCGGAUUCACUGGGCGUAAAGGGCGCGUAGGCGGGAUAGCAAGUCAGAAGUGAAAUCCUAUGGCUUAACCAUAGAACUGCUUUUGAAACUGUAAGUCUAGAGUGUGGGAGAGGUAGGUGGAAUUCUUGGUGUAGGGGUGAAAUGCGUAGAGAUCAAGAGGAAUACUGAUUGCGAAGGCGACUUACUAGAACAUAACUGACGCUGAUGCGCGAAAGCGUGGGGAGCAAACAGGAUUAGAUACCCCUGUAGUC